UGCGCUACUCUCUUUGUAUGAAAAGUGCUCUAUAAAUAAAGUUUGAUUGAUUGAUUGAUUGAUUGAGUGAUUGAUUGAUUGAUUGAUUUAUCUGUUUCAGUUUCACCCUUCUUUCAAUGUCAAUAAACCAGAGGAUAAGGAGUCAAAUGUCUUUAAAGUCUUGAUGUUUGGAAGGCAUUUAUCUGACUGUCAAAUUAUAUUCAGCACAUAUACCAAGGACAGUACAAUUUGUAUUCAUCCACUAUCUCCACCAUCAUCUCAUGGAUUGUGCUGACAGCUGCUGUAGCCAGCUCCCUCUGCUUGGAGAAGGUCACAUCUCUUUGGUCUUUUUCACAUUUAGCUCCAGGGAAGAUUUAUCACACCACCCCACAAACUCGUGGAGUGCUGACCGGUGGUGGUGUGAUGGGUCUGAGAGCAGGAGCAGGAGAAAUGUAUCGUCUGUGUACUUAACCAGAUGACAGUCUGGGUUGACCUGAAGAAGGAUGAAGAGGUGAGAAGAUGCAUGUGACAAAUGCAGCCUAUGCUAGCAUCUGCUUUCUGUCUGAUGGUACAUGCCACAAAAAACAUCCUGUUAACCAUAAACUAACAAUUAAUGUCAUUGGCUAAUUAGGGUCCUUUCAUGUCACUCAGUUUGUGUCUGAUGAAGAUCAAUGCAGAUAAGAACAGUUUUGUCAUUUAACAUUGUGCAGAAAAAGUCCUAAAAACUGAUUGGAUCGAAGAUGACAUCAUACAGGAUGUUAAAAAAAAAUCCUUCUUGGGUCUGUCAGCUCCACUCUUUCCUUCUUCCCCUAGGCUGGUCAAUCUACAAUGCCAUGCUAAAUUGCAAAAGAGGUGAGAGCACUCCUAAGACAAUAAGAGGUCUUUGGGCUACUGCUUGACUUGCCCACUCUGGUAGUAAGUAAAUAAUGAUUACCAUUGUUUACUUAAACACAUUACUUAAAAGACUUGUGAUGAGCCACAAUCAUAUUGCAUUUGUCAUGCAGUGGUAUACAGUUGUUUGCCUGAUCAAGUGCAGUGAUCUGAAGAGGUGUCAUCACUCGUGUUCAGACCAGGGCUGAUGCAAACUCCGAUGUUAUUCAUUGGCUCAGUAGCAAAACUGAUGAAUUCAACCAGAUUGAGAGAGGUUGUAGGUGCAUCAUGUUUCCACAUGAUGAUAUUCAUCUUCAAUGAAAAGGGAAGGUCCAAGGCUAUGCGAACCCUCAAUGUCUCUCAACACUCAGUGUCUUGGAAUCCCCACACACCAGAUUUGUAUUUGUUGACGCAUCAUUGCUCAUCUAUCAUGUGGUGUGUUCAUCAUCAGACACCAUAACUGAGCUGGCCACCAUGGGGUGCUUGCUCAAACACUCCAUCACCCAAAUAUUUGUUAUCUUUGACUGGUAUGAACAAGUUUCUACCCAAAACCAUGAGAGGCACAGAAGAGCUGAGGAGAAUUUAACAGACUAGCAAAACUCACAAACAACUUCCCUACCUUGUCCUGACAAAGUAAUGAAGGGCAAAGCAAACAAGCGGAGCCUUCGGGAUUUGUACACACGGCAUAAAAGAUCAGAUCAGGAUGAUCAGCAAAGCUAAUUUUAGGCGUAUAUUAGACAACAACUCUUUGCUGUCUGAGUGGUGACACUGAUGUCUUUGUGCUGCUGGUUAUCUGGUGCUGUAAGGUUGGUGUCAUAUGACACCUGCAGAUAGGAUGAUACUGUCUCAACAUCAGUUUGAUAGCAAGAAUCUGGAAAAGCAGUGCACUCCAUCCUGGCUAUGCUACUCCCUGCAGUUGUGACACCGCUUUCUAUCCCAUGAGGAAAGGGUGUCUGCUCUCAAUCCUGUGUGAGUAAUAUGUGGUGACAUACUUUAGUUCAUCAGAGAGGAAGAUGCUAAUCAGUGACGGCUGGUGGUAAAAUUUGUUGGGUGGGCUAACAAAUGCAUAAUACCGAUUAAAUAGUUAACAUCACCUAUGAUACUCACAGUUACAUCAAUUACAGGUACACUAUACUUUAGUGCUCUACAUCAACACUCUUUCUCUCUCUCUCUCUCUCUCUCUCUCUCUCUCUCUCUCUCUCUCACACACACACAGAUACACAUGCCACAUCAGUUGUCUCAUCAGCUUGCACAGCCACAAAUGCCGUCUGCGAUAUUUCAGUCAGUCACUUUUUGUUCAUAAACAGCUAACAUAGAAUCAAGCAACUCGUUUUGGCUAGUCUUGGACGUGUACUUUGCAGCUUGUGUGUUUGACAGGUGAUCUGCUCACUGGCUGUCUAAAAAAGAAAAAUUGGUCACCCAGGUCCAGAAAUACGCCGCGUUGGGUUGAAGUGGGGGAUUUGUCAGACCCCCGUAAAGCUAACUCGUGUGCUCCACAAAAUUUAAUACAGUCCACAAUCCUUGAUAGUGAGUGUCUGUUUUUUUCACCAGCUCAUUGUACCUCUGUACAGCGAUGCGGUGGCCCUCAUCCAGCUGACAGGCGGUGUUAACUUUUCCCAAAAUAGACAGCUUGACGCUGUUUCUGAUGUGACUUGUGCUGCAUUCAUGUUUUCUAAUUUUGUCUGAAAAAUGUUUCAAAUCCACAAUUCCUUGUUGAGUCCAUGCGGUAUCUCCUCCAAAAAGUAAGCAUGGGAAACAGAAAAGUGAAUUCUUAGCUAUACUUGCCGUUAGCCAGUCCUUUCUGUCAAACCAAGAAACGCAAAACUUACGAUUUUGUCGUUUGUCCCGUUGAGUUAUUUGAACAUCGUUUGGCCAAUAUGAUCCUAGUCUCUUAACUUCCAGCUUUUCCUCCAAAGACAUUGAGGAAAAUGGACAAGAAAGCAAAUAAUCCACCUCAUUCAUGCUAACGACCGUCAUAGCUUAACUUUUUCUCCCUCCUUCCUAACUCUGGCACAAAUGGCAGCACCCAGCACCGCUGUGUUAACUUGCUGCUAUUGGUCAAAAGUCAGUGGCCCAUGGGCUGACUGAAGUUAGCCCAAAUGAUCAGUAAAUCACGGGGGCGGGACAUGACACCUGUCAAUCACUUACAAGAACGAAAUGAAUGAAAGCCACCGCUGUGUUAACUUGCUGCUAUUGGUCAAAUGUCAGUGGCCCAUGGGCUGACUGAAGUUAGCUCAAAUGAUCAGUAAAUCACAGGGGCGUGACAUGACACCUGUCAAUCACUUACAAGAACGAAAUGAAUGAAAGCGGACUGUAUCUGCUGGGGCUGUAAAAAAAAUAAGCCCAUUUAGAGAUAUUCUAUGUUUUUCUUUUGACUGAUUGGUGCUGUUGCUACCUUUGGUUUCACCUAAACUUAAAACAAUCUGUUGUAAGUUAUUUAAAAAAUAAUUUUCUCAUAUUUUUUUGUGUUGGCCUGGGAGGGCUUAGUCCUGUUAGCCCAUUUAUACCAGCCGUCCCUGACGCUAAUAACCUGCAGAUAAUACACACAGUGAGGGGCUUCUUCCUGGCCCUCUACUGCCUGGUCCGCCUCCGUGCUCUCUGAUCUCUCUUCCUCUUCUCUCCUCUUUUCCUCCCUUCUCGCUCCUACUCUGGGGCGGCUGUGGCUCAGGUGGUAGAGCGGGUCGUCCAAUGAUCGAAGGGUUGGCAGUUCGAUUCCCGCUCUCGCCUAGUCAUGUGCUGCAUGCCGAAGUUUCCUUGGGCAAGAUUCUGAACCCCGAAUUGCCUACCAGUGACUGUUCCACUGGUGUGUGAAUGUAUACUGACUGAUGUUGCAGGUUGAUUAGCAACCUGCACAUUAGUGUGCGAAUGUGUGUGUCUGGGUGAAUGGGAGCAAUUGUUGUAAAAGCGCUUUGAGUACUCUGAUGAGUAGAAAAGCGCUAUAUAAGAGCAAGUCCAUUUACUCUCACUUUCUCUUCUCUUCUGCUACCCUCCCUCUUGGUACCUCUCUUGCUGCGGUCCUGGCCGCUGGUGUUAAGGGACAAUUAGAAGCAGCUGCGGAGAUGGCGCACCUGCAUCUGAUCACUAACCUAAUAAAACCCAGCUCGUCCCUGCACUCCUCGCCAAAUCAUAGCAUCAGCUCUGAUAUAUUGUCAGUCAGGCCACUUGCACACUUUUACAAUUCUCUGGUUGCUCUGUUCCUAACAUCUGUUUUCUCUGGCCGCAGUUCCGCGACUGCACUGUCCGGUUCAGUCUUGCUCCACUGAGCCGCCGUAAUGAUUCUCCUCACCUGCAGUCCAAAGAGGACCUCUGAAGAGGACACAGCUCUCCACCCAGCUUUCCCUCCCAUCACCGCUGCCGCUCUCUGUCACACGUCCUGUGGUAUUAGUGUGCAUUUGCCCAACUGCUGGACUGGAAGUCCCUUGAGCCUAAAGCCUAAAGGAUUCCCUGGAAACACCUCCACCUUGGAGGUCUUCUCAAAGAAAGCAUAGCUCUCGCCCAAGGCAGACCUCACCAUUCCCCAACGCCCAGACUUCAUCACUUCCCAGUGCUGUGAAGGCCUCACCGCAGAUCACCAUGGAGAUUCCUCUCAUUACCAUACUCCUGCCUGCAACUCACUGUGCCUGUGGCCACCUCAGUCAGAUCAGAACAGUCAGUCAGCCAUCCACCAAGCCACACGGCAGAGGCACCAGCCAUCAAACUCCAUGUGCUUCAAGAUUCCCAGCCACUUCCAAGCAACAGCCUCCUUGGAAAAUUUUCCAUAGAGGAUUCUUCCUAUAUAAAAUGAGACUUCUCCUACUGUCUCCAGUUGUGUUUUAGGGGGGAUUGUUGACUUUCUCUCUAUAAUAUUGUUAGAUCAUGACCUUACUAUAAAAAGUACCAUGAGAUGACAUAUGUUAAUAUUUGGCACUACAAAAGAGAGCUGAAUUCUUUAUUGUGCCAUUUCCUAUACCCUUCUAUUUGCUUAUUUGUAAAGCAUUUUGAAUUGCCAUGUGUCUGAAUUGUGUUGUAUAAAUAAACUUGCCUCAGCUUGGCUAUGUAUCUCAA